CACCACAGUGACUUCUCCGCCGUAGCCUUGGCAGUGCAAGGCAUUGGAAGAGGAAGGGGAGCACAGCUGAGGCCGUGUUUGAUUGCCGAUAACUCCGCUUGUGCUGAACGCAUUGAAAUAAUUUUUGCGGCAAAGUGGUUCUUAAAUAGCCUAUCUUCACCUCAAAUGUCUUUCUACACUUAGAUAAAAAGUGGUUCAGGGCCCCUUUAAGGGCGUGUCGGUGCUACGGCUCCAGCACCAAGUCCACAAGGUCCUGCAGCUGCAGGUCGACCUUAACGGAUCCAGUCGGCAGAAGUUCUUCGCAACUCAAUGCAGCUUCUUUCAGCACCACUUCAACGAGGUUGGCCAUUGUGACAUCCCGGGCAAGAUCUUUCUCUGGCUCAUCUUGCACUUGGUAACGGCUAAAGGAAGGUACGAGCCACUGCGGCGAGCCCUGCACUUCCACCGGGUUCUGCCCGUAUUUUUCCUCAUGGACGCGGACACGGAAAAUGCGAUCAACUAAAGGCUAGCAGCUUGGCUGUAAACAUUGGCCCAAUCGCUCACAGCGAGGCACCGCCGUGUGCAAUUCCAAAUGCGCCACCGACCACCCAUCCACUCUCGCUGAAACAGUGCCGCAACCUGAUCUCGGAGCCAAUAUGUUAAAAAUGCUAACCAUGUGUGCAUUUUACCUGGCCCUGGGCUUUCUAUUCCUUGGCUUCGAGUCCUGCGUGCUUUGUUACAAUAAAUCACGUCCACCAGCAGUGACAAAAAAUUGCGAAGAACUGCUCAGAACGAAGUGCCACUUUCCACGUAUGGUAUAUUGCUCAAAUCGCCAGAAUGACUGCGUGUGCACUUGCGUUUACACGCCACGUGGUUGAAUACAUCAGGGGCAGCGGUUUUCUUCUGCGCACAUCCUGCUCGUAGCUCUUCACUGAUGCGCCAUGUCCAGAAUAAACUUUAAUUUUGAGUUUC